rnacentral:sRNA from 1 species
UUUUUGCUAUCUGCGAUCCGGACGAUUCGAGCAGGUUCGCACCGAACGUAGUGAGGCACCGGAGCCGUAAGGCGACGGCCCGAAGGGCGAGCGGAGCGAGUCAUCCUGUACGACCCACCA